rnacentral:rRNA from 1 species
UACGUAGGGAGCAAGCGUUGUCCGGAUUUACUGGGUGUAAAGGGUGCGUAGGCGGCUUUGCAAGUCAGAAGUGAAAUCUAUGGGCUUAACCCAUAAACUGCUUUUGAAACUGCAGGGCUUGAGUGAAGUAGAGGUAGGCGGAAUUCCCGGUGUAGCGGUGAAAUGCGUAGAGAUCGGGAGGAACACCAGUGGCGAAGGCGGCCUACUGGGCUUUAACUGACGCUGAGGCACGAAAGCGUGGGGAGCAAACAGG